rnacentral:rRNA from 1 species
GACGAACGCUGGCGGCGUGCUUAACACAUGCAAGUCGAACGGUGAACGAGGGAGCUUGCUCCCUCCGGAUCAGUGGCGAACGGGUGAGUAACACGUGAGCAAUCUGCCCCGAACUCUGGGAUAAGCGUUGGAAACGACGUCUAAUACCGGAUACGACGCGGGAGGGCAUCCUCUCCGCGUGGAAAGAACUUCGGUUCGGGAUGAGCUCGCGGCCUAUCAGCUUGUUGGUGAGGUAACGGCUCACCAAGGCGACGACGGGUAGCCGGCCUGAGAGGGUGACCGGCCACACUGGGACUGAGACACGGCCCAGACUCCUACGGGAGGCAGCAGUGGGGAAUAUUGCACAAUGGGCGCAAGCCUGAUGCAGCAACGCCGCGUGAGGGACGACGGCCUUCGGGUUGUAAACCUCUUUUAGCAGGGAAGAAGCGACAGUGACGGUACCUGCAGAAAAAGCACCGGCUAACUACGUG